CCAAGGAGUUUAGCGUGUACGCGAGUCAUUGGGUUCUAACGAAACCCAAAGGCGAAAUGAAAGUGAAGGGAACUUCACGUUUCUGAGGGAAGAUGAGUCGGUCACCCGCAAGGGGCCACUCCGCACUCCCGGGGCGUCUCUAUCUCAUUGCGAGAGGAGGCGCACCCAGAGCGUACACGCUGAUACCCGAAAGAUGGUGAACUAUGCCUGGCCAGGACGAAGCCAGGGGAAACCCUGGUGGAGGUCCGCAGCGAUUCUGACGUGCAAAUCGAUCGUCGGAGCUGGGUUUAGGGGCGAAAGACCAAUCGAACCAUCUAGUAGCUGGUUCCCUCCGAAGUUUCCCUCAGGAUAGCUUGCGCUCAUUCGAAACGAGUCUCAUCCGGUAGAGCGAAUGAUUAGAGGCCUUGGGGUCGAAACGAUCUCAACCUAUUCUCAAACUCCAAAUAGAUGAGAACUCCGGCUUUCUUGAAUGAACAUUUUUGAAGCCGGGGGCUUGGAUCAGAGUGCCAAGUGGGCCAAUUUUGGUAAGCAGAACUGGCGCUGUGGGAUGAACCAAACGCCGAGUUAAGGCGCCUCAAUCGACGCUCAUGUGAAACCAUGAAAGGCGUUGGUUGCUUAAGACAGCAGGACGGUGGCCAUGGAAGUCGGAAUCCGCUAAGGAGUGUGUAACAACUCACCUGCCGAAGCAACUAGCCCUGAAAAUGGAUGGCGCUGUAGCGUCGUGCCUAUACUCGGCCGUCAACGGCAAAGAUGGUCGGACUUCAUCGUUCGACCGUUACGCCUUGACGAGUAGGAGGGCCGCGGCGACGUGCGUAGAAGGGUCUGGGCGUGAGCCUGCCUGGAGCCGUCGUCGGUGCAGAUCUUGGUGGUAGUAGCAAAUACUCCAGCGAGGCCCUGGAGGACUGAUGUGGAGAAGGGUUUCUUGUGAACAGCUGUUGCACAAGAGUCAGUCGGUCCUAAGCCCUAGGAGAAAUCCGAAGCGAUGGGUUGCCGUUCAUCUGGUGUUGGCACCCGUUUGGGCGAAAGGGAAUCCGGUUCCUAUUCCGGAACCUGGCAGUGGAACCGUUCCAAUUCGGGCCCUCUGAGGACUCGUCAGGGCAACCUGAAUAGACCCGGAGACGCCGACAGGAGGUUGGGGGAGAGUUGUCUCUUCUCUAUAAGCGAUCGAGUUCCCUGGAAACUUCUAGCAAGGAGAUAGGGUUUGGAUCGCGAAGAGCACUGCAGUUACGGCAGUGUCCCAAUCUUCCUCUCGGACCUUGAAAAUCCGGGUGAGGGCCACGAGGAAUACCACGCCAGACCGUACCCAUAUCCGCAGCA
rnacentral:rRNA from 1 species